GCGGAAGUAGCUCAGUGGUAGAGCAUCACCUUGCCAAGGUGGGGGUCGCGAGUUCGAGUCUCGUUUUCCGCU
rfam:Megasphaera elsdenii strain DSM 20460 draft genome